CCUACGGGAGGCAGCAGUAGGGAAUCUUCCACAAUGGGCGAAAGCCUGAUGGAGCAACGCCGCGUGGGUGAAGAAGGUCUUCGGAUCGUAAAACCCUGUUGUUAGAGAAGAAAGUGCGUGAGAGUAACUGUUCACGUUUCGACGGUAUCUAACCAGAAAGCCACGGCUAACUACGUGCCAGCAGCCGCGGUAAUACGUAGGUGGCAAGCGUUAUCCGGAUUGAUUGGGCGUAAAGGGAACGCAGGCGGUCUAUUAAGUCUGAUGUGAAAGCCUUCGGCUUAACCGGAGUAGUGCAUUGGAAACUGGGUGACUUGAGUGCAGAAGAGGAGAGUGGAACUCCAUGUGUAGCGGUGAAAUGCGUAGAUAUAUGGAAGAACACCAGUGGCGAAAGCGGCUCUCUGGUCUGUAACUGACGCUGAGGUUCGAAAGCGUGGGUAGCAAACAGGAUUAGAUACCCUAGUAGUC
rnacentral:rRNA from 1 species